GCAUGGCAUGAUUUAUGGUGGGAUCCAUCCCAUGAUCUCUUCAUAGUGUACUCCAUGCAAAAUCAAAUCACUGCCCCAAACCAUUGACUGGCCUGCAUCCUCCAUAGGCCUGCUUCACUGAUGUGGGCAGCACAAAG